UGCCUAAACUCUAUUUAAUAGGGCAUGGCACAAAAACCCAGUAAGAGAUAUUAACGCUCGUCGUCAGAGCACUCUUACUGGGUCAUAACUCGAAAGAGUUAUGGGUAGCCGAAAGGCUAUC
rnacentral:sRNA from 1 species